AUUGAACGCUGGCGGCAUGCCUAACACAUGCAAGUCGAACGUGAAAGAGGGGCAACUCUCGAGUAAAGUGGCGGACGGGUGAGUAAUACGUAGGAAUCUGCCCUAGAGUGGGGGAUAACCUGCCGAAAGGCAGGCUAAUACCGCAUGAUCUCUUAGGAGCAAAGGCGCCUUGUACUUGUACAAGGUUUCGCUUUAGGAUGAGCCUACGUCGGAUUAGCUAGUUGGUAGGGUAAUGGCCUACCAAGGCAACAAUCCGUAGCUGGUCUGAGAGGACGAUCAGCCACACUGGAACUGAGACACGGUCCAGACUCCUACGGGAGGCAGCAGUGGGGAAUAUUGGACAAUGGGGGAAACCCUGAUCCAGCAAUGCCGCGUGUGCGAUGAAGGCCUGCGGGUUGUAAAGCACUUUCGGUGGGGAAGAAAUGCCCAAAGAUAAUAUCUUUGGGAGCUGACGUUACCCACAGAAGAAGCACCGGCAAACUCUGUGUCAGCCGCCGCAGUAA
rnacentral:rRNA from 1 species